UUAGACUGUAGUCUAAUGUAAGACAAAAUGAUAAAAACAUUCAUUCUACAUUGGUGCCUAAUUAGUACAGUGUACAGUUUUGCUAAUUUAGCAGCAACAUACGUACGACAGAACCUGUUUGAUGUAAAAUUCGGUCGGGCUCAGAUAAAGUUGAUGGGUGCUGUCCUGGGUAUCGAACCUGUGGCUCUCUGCGAGUCCGGCGCUGCACUUCCUGCCGCUCCCUUGAUUGGGUACCAAUGAGAGGGGGUCUGGUCUGAUGAGGUACCUAAGGAUGGGAAUCAGACUAGUGAGGACAUUGCCUGAAUCAUGCCAAGGAACCACGGCUGUAAUUGCCACUGGAGGCAGUAGAGGUCGCUGUUUCUUGGUAAAUUACUAUGAAAUAGUUCGAUCUCUUUCGUGGCUGCCCACCAAUCCAGUAUGAAAUUGAAAUAACCAAAUAAACCUUCAGUUAUUAGGCCAUUUCUACAACUAUAUCUGUGAGCAAGGCCUUCUACACUUCUAUUAAUUGCAAAAUAACGGGCAACACACCCAGUUUCUCUACCCAUGAUAUGAUAGGAUAGGCUUGGUGAAGAUCAAAAGCCGCUUUCAAGACUGGCUGGACCACACUGUCCAUUUCCCCCAUGGGUGUGAUGACCAUGUCAAAGCCAAAACGGUGUCCGGGCUCUCCCUUACAGAAGCUCCGUCAUCUGGGAUGAGUUGUCGAGCCACUGCGCCUGCGCAUUGAGAGGCGCCAGAUGAGGCGGCUGGGGCAUCUGAUUCGAAUGCCUCCCGGACGCCUCCCUGGUGAGGUUUUCCGGGCAUGUCCCACCGGAAAGAGACCCCGAGGAUGACCCAGGACACGCUGGAGAGACCAUGUCUCUCGGCUGGCUUGGGAACACCUCGGCAUCCCUCCGGAACAGCUGGAAGAAGUGGCUGGGGAAAAGGGAAGUCUGGGAAUCCCUGCUGAAGCUACUUCCCCCGGGUAGAUGAUGGAUGAAUAACACAAAAAUAUGAGGGUGAGUUGAAAAUUUGAUGUGUGCACAAUUUAUGACCCACAGCCAUAAAAGGGGAUAUCUUAUAUAAAAAAAAUGUCUUUAUUACGUGUCGAUAAAUAGUUGGGUCUCCGGAGUUUCGUCCCAUCAAUUAAGUGUGGAAUAAAACAACCACUUAAUUAUUUUAUUACCUGCCUGUCCAUAAUCAACCCGUUCUGUACUUUCGUCCUCGUGUUAUUGUUACGGUGGGGUGAAAAUGAAGACUAAAACAUAAACCUGACACACGCAGUUAAGUUGUGUUUGAGGUAAAGCAAGCACAACAACAAAGAUGCUAGGUCGUUCUCAACUGCACCGCACCUCUGACACCGGAAGCUUGUGGGCUUCUGUUCUGUAGAUGCCAACUGGAAUAUCUCCCGUGGAGGAGCACAGCUUCUGGUAGAGCCUCCCUGCAACCGCUCGGCGUUCAAGUCGUCCUCUUACAGCGCAGAGGAAUCCUGAACCGGGCAUGGAGUCGAGGCCGAGUAGCAGCCUGGUGAUGGAGAUCAUGUAAUCCUUGACAAACGACUGUCCACAGUGAAGGAACGGAGUGUGUCAAGCAUGCUGACACUGAACACUUUGCCUGCCGCAAAGGGCAGACGGAACAUAAACACCAGGUUGGAUCCUCUCUCCCUUUCCUUCUGCAGCAGCGACUCACUUGGCUCUCAUCAGGUCCUGGUCUUUGAGAGCAGACCCCUGCAGGUAGAUGACUCUCUGGGCCCACAGAGGAACAUGAAGUACUCUUCUAACCUGGACAUCCAUUUCUGCCGGGCACAGGAUCACCACAGUGAAGAUUAACCCCCCCCCCCCCACCCGCCACCCCAUUGGGUGUUUUUCAUCUCACCUGUAUGGGAAGCACAAUGAGCGCCACGAAGAUCAUGAUGACCACCAGGAGCUGCGAGGGCCAGAUCUGCGGGGUGACGUCCCCGAAGCCCACCGUCGAGAAGGUGACGACGCAGAAGUAGAGCGAAUCGAACAAGGUCAGGUUGUUGCCGGCCCGCUCCAAGUGCUGGAUCCCGCAGAUGCUGUUUUCGACCGGGAGUGUUUGCUCGUAGGCGGGUGGAUGCAUUCCAGAGCUAAUGCGCGGAACCGUGCAUAUUUACGAGUACGAGAGCAGCUCACCGGGGAUGGAAACAAGUUGGUUUUCGAGCCUGUGCGGUUACCCACCAUGUAAACAUGAGACACACCAGCGUGCUGAUGAGGAUCACCACCUGGUUGAACAUGGCCGAGUGUGUCCGCUGGAUGGCCCUGUGGAGGUCGUUCUGCGGAGAAACGCAAAGAGAGAGAGACAGAGAGACGCCGGCUGAGGCGUGCGAAGGGAAACGGGGCCUGGAGCCAGCAGUUGAGGAAAACCGGGAUGAAGAGAUUUCGGAAGGAGGGCAGAAUCACCUGUGGAAACGAGAGGCAGAAACAACUUCACUCCUGCGUGUGUUUCUGCGAGCGGGUGCAUACGCGAUCGUCCCUGGUGAGCAGGCGGGGAAGCGGAAGCCUACUGUGACACCCAUAACUGCCGUGUACUGAAGCAGCAGUGAUCAUGAAGGGGACGGCGCUGAUCAUCUCCAGAAUGAAGGGGACACGUAGUACUUGCUCCCAGACGUUGCCCUGGAAACGCAAAGCGCACACAAGAGCGGGAGAGGUCGGUCCACCCAGAUGAUCAGCUUCCUUGGCGGUGGAAGGACGUGACGGGACAGGGAGGACAGGGUAUUGCAGCAACAUCUGCGAGGUCAACACACACACACUUCUCGAAAGUGUCUCGAACUCUCCCCUUUGUUGCCGUUCCCUGGAGAAAUGUUUCAAGUGAGGUGGUCACACAAACUGCCGAGCUCCGGUGUCAAAGCCCCGUGGAAUCAGGCAAUUGCAGCGGACUUUCGGGGCGAGAGGCGUGGUCUGUGGGAGGAAACCGGAGUGCCCGGAGAAAACCCACGCAGGCACGGGAAGGACAUGCUAACACCACAAAGGCGAGGCCGGGCCCGAUCCCGGGUCCUCAGAACGACAAAAAUCCAACACUGAAGACUUCCAAACGUUGGAACUUUCUUUCCGAAACAUCUGCACACUUGAUGGAAGACAAAGUAUCAGACAUCCGAUCCUUGAAUGCUGUUUUUCAAACCCGUCGCGCACCUGAUGGUUUUUGCUGUGAUUUUGCCCUCUGCUGGCCGCGUCGCAUUCAAUGUCCAGCGGAGGACCGAAACGCUCGCGCUGGGCAUCUUCGUGCCGGCAGCGAUGAAUGACACGCCUUCUUUUAACAUGUUCAUCCGUGCAGCGAGCAUGACAGGCGAGGCGAAAAACAUUUCUUCUUUCAAGUGGGUGGGCCUCGCCACGUUACCAUGGCAACACCACAAAAAUUCAAACGCAUCCCGCGAGAUUGUUUGUGUGUUUGUGUGAUUUUUUUUUUCUCUUUCUGAACCUCAUUUAAACCUCAUCCAGUGGCACAUUACCAUAAUGUCUACUCCGAGGACAAUUUGCCCAGACUGCAAGUUGUUGCCUCGCCACAUAAUAAGAGCUCCAUCCUGUUGAACUAAAGCUGGCCCCACGCACCCACAAAACAGGAUAUACGUGUAGCGCGUCUGUGGCGUCACUCCAACGCGACGUUGACGGAGGCCAGAGCGUCCACAGCCCAGCCGGGGUACGCGUCGCGGGACGGGAACAUUCGGCGCAUGAAGGCGCGGAUGAAGUCCGGGAAGCGGCCUUCCACGAUGCUCUGUCGCACGGAGCGCAUUAGGCUGAGCUGCAGACCCGGUUCAUUGUGAAAAAAUGGAUUGCACGGUUGCAAAGGACGAGAGCUUCGUGGGUUCCACAUGACAGGUUGGACACUGGCAUUCGGGGUCGAUGGGCUGAAAGUCUUUGGCAUACUGCUUGUGUUUCACCUGAAGGGAUCCCCAGGGCACCAACGCUGAGCCAAAUCUCUGAGGACCAACAAAAUUUAUUCCCUCAAAAGUCAAGUCACGUUGAAGGGAAGAGUCUUACCGCCGUCCGGGUGGGAAAGACGCAGUCGAACAUGUCGCAACCCAAAGCGACGCACACCACCAAGUCCACGGCGUAUCUGCGGCACAGAUUGCAGCGAUCGAGCCAGCGAAUGGACCGGCGCAUAGCCUCCUCUACGCGCGGCCCCGUCACCGUGCUGCUCACCACGUCGUCCAGCUGCAUCAUGACGUCGGACCCUGCGGGGAUCGCAAACAACACGGGAAAUACUAAGUGGUACGUGUUCCCGAGACAUAUCUGACAUCCCAGCGCGUCCAGUUGAUCGGCGGUGAUUCCCUUCAUGGUGCCCUGGGUGCCGACCGGCAUGAAAACCGGCGUGCUGACGGAGCCGUGCGGCAGCUCCAGGUCGCACA